UUAAGCAUAUCACUAAGCGGAGGAAAAGAAACUAACCAGGAUUCCCUUAGUAACGGCGAGUGAACAGGGAGAAGCCCAGCACCGAAGCCUGUGGUCGUUUGAUCACUAGGCAAUGUGGUGUUCAGGUCGACUCGCGGAGACGCUGCUCCUCUCCAAGUCCGUCAAUGAGUACGGUAUUUUGGACAUGGCCCAAAGAGGGUGAAAGGCCCGUUGGGGAGGAGAUCAGGCAUGACAGCGCUUCCAUGAACAGACCUUGGAGUCGGGUUGUUUGAGAAUGCAGCCCAAAGUGGGUGGUAAACUCCAUCCAAGGCUAAAUACUAACACGAGUCCGAUAGCGAACAAGUACCGUGAGGGAAAGUUGAAAAGUACUUUGAAGAGAGAGUAAACAGUGCGUGAAACCGCUCAGAGGUAAACGGGUGGAGUUGAACUGCGUGCUUUGAGGAUUCAGCUGGUGACUGUAUUAUGGGCUUGGUCAUUUCGGUUGAGCUGCGGGGUCUGCGUAGCAGCAGGUCUUUGCUUUCGGGCAAGGAUGCGCGAUGCACUUAUCAAGUGUUGUGCGCCCUGUUUGUUCUUCGGAUCGGUUGCCAGUGCACUUUCUCAGAGUGAUCAUCACGACCGGCAUUGCUGCCUGGCUGUUGUGGUUAAACCGGUUAGGCAUUGUCCCUGUGGCUUUGUUUAGUCGGGAGGGCAGGUAGCCCGUUGGUCUGCUUGUGGCUUGCUGCAAGUGUUGGCUCUCGGGUGUAAUCAGCUGACCAUGAUGGUUCUGUGUGGUGUGCCGGAGACGGCGGCUCGUGGUGCGUGCGUGCAUGGUGAUUUGCUGGCGUUUUCGGGUUUGGUUGCCGUGUUGUCUGUUCAGGCAGGCCUGGUGAUAGCUCGGAUUCGUUCGGCGGGUUGCUGUGUGUGUGGCAUCUUGACAGGGCCGAUAGUCUGUGAUGUUGCGGUAGAUUAUCCACCUGACCCGUCUUGAAACACGGACCAAGGAGAGUAACAUGCGCGCGAGUCAUUGGGCGUAACGAAACCCAGAGGCGCAGUGAAAGUAAAGGUUUGCCCUUGUGCAGACUAAGGUGAGAUCUCGUCGUUUCCUACACGGUGCCACCAAGUUCGAGCGGCGAGCGCAUCACCGGCCCGUCCCAUGACGUAGACGGGGUCUUUUUGAUCCGCGCACCGUCGGGGCGGAGCAUGAGCGUGCAUGUUGAGACCCGAAAGAUGGUGAACUAUGCUUGCGCAGGUUGAAGCCAGAGGAAACUCUGGUGGAGGACCGCAGCGAUUCUGACGUGCAAAUCGAUCGUCAAACGUGAGUAUAGGGGCGAAA
rnacentral:rRNA from 1 species